CGUCCUGGUAGCGGGGGAUAACUAAUUGAAACGAUAGCUAAUACCGCAUAACAGUAGAUAUUGCAUGAUAUCUGCUUGAAAGGUGCAAAUGCAUCACUACCAGAUGGACCUGCGUUGUAUUAGCUAGUUGGUGAGGUAACGGCUCACCAAGGCGACGAUACAUAGCCGACCUGAGAGGGUGAUCGGCCACACUGGGACUGAGACACGGCCCAG
rnacentral:rRNA from 1 species